CUAAGGGCAGCAUAUACAUUAUCUUGUUUCGCAAGUGGUGAACUGUGUCGUUUGGAGGGACAAAUAACAGGUCUGUCACCUUGCCUUCUGCUUCUCCUUUCGAGUAUUACAAAUGUGUUACAGCUUUUCGUUUUGAACAAAGAA
ensembl:ncRNA Y70D2A.4 ncRNA